rnacentral:rRNA from 4 species
UGCUGGAGGUAUCAGAAGUGCGAAUGCUGACAUAAGUAACGAUAAAGCGGGUGAAAAGCCCGCUCGCCGGAAGACCAAGGGUUCCUGUCCAACGUUAAUCGGGGCAGGGUGAGUCGACCCCUAAGGCGAGGCCGAAAGGCGUAGUCGAUGGGAAACAGGUUAAUAUUCCUGUACUUGGUGUUACUGCGAAGGGGGGACGGAGAAGGCUAUGUCGGCCGGGCGACGGUUGUCCCGGUUUAAGC